ACCUGUGCACCUGUGUGCCCA
rnacentral:miRNA from 1 species